rnacentral:rRNA from 1 species
UACGUAGGGUGCAAGCGUUGUCCGGAUUUAUUGGGCGUAAAGAGCUCGUAGGCGGCUUGGCAAGUCGGGUGUGAAACCUCCAGGCUCAACCUGGAGACGCCACUCGAUACUGCCAUGGCUAGAGUCCGGUAGGGGACCACGGAAUUCCUGGUGUAGCGGUGAAAUGCGCAGAUAUCAGGAGGAACACCGGUGGCGAAGGCGGUGGUCUGGGCCGGCACUGACGCUGAGGAGCGAAAGCGUGGGUAGCAAACAGG